AAGAGCACACAUCGGUCUUUUCACAAGAAUGCCACAAUUUCAAUUUCAAGCUCCCUCCUCAGUCCUCCUUCCUCCCUCAACGCCCACCCUUCUCUCCGAAAACCCCAAAAUCCCAAUUCAAUGGAGCAGCAGAAGCGCAUGGCGAGCAAAUGCCCGGAAAACGAAGAGCUCGCAGCGUACAUGCUACGCAAGUGGCAGGAAAUGGCCGAGCAAAAGCCCAAAGGCAUCUCCGAGAACAUCGAAAUGACUCUUUCUAAGGCUUACUCCAAUGUCUGCAACUCCAAGAACCCUAUUAAAACCCUUAAAGAGUUUUCCCAUAUCAAGGGUGUGGGGAAGUGGAUUCUGCGGCUUAUGCAAGGGUUUUUUGAGACCGGUUCAAGCAGUUCUGAACCAGAAGACUUAACAAAAAAGGGUAAGAGAAACAAAGGAAGCAGGCGCUAUCUUCCACAAAAGAAUUCUGUGGCAUAUGCAUUAUUGAUCACACUUUACAGGGGAACUGAAGAUGGGAAUGAAUUUAUGCGUAAACAGGAGCUUAUUGAUGCAGCUGAAGCAAGUGGACUUUCUCGUGUGCCAAUUAUGCCAGAGAAGGGAAAGGGAAAACUUGGACACUUUGCGAGUUCUGCAAAGGAAUGGUAUAGUGGAUGGUCCUGCAUGACAACAUUGAUAACCAAGGGACUGGUUGUGAAAUCAAGUUGCCCUGCAAAGUACAUGCUUACUGAAGAAGGUAAGGAAGCUGCACAUGAAUGUCUCAUGAGGUCUGGUUUGGCAGAGCCUGUAGAACAAUCUGCUAAUGCCGAAGGGCCUUCUGUUCUGAAUGUGGACAAUAUUUCACAUCAGGGACUUGCUCAUCUGGGCUCAGCCACAGAGGUGACAUUGUUGCCCACUAAUCUAAGUAGGAAGGAGAAACCGUUUGAUAUUCCACCGGAAUACCUUGACAAGUUUAUGCCCAUGGGGUAUUCUAAGGAACAGAUUGUUCAAGCUUUUACUGAAGUUUCAGAAAGUUCCCUUGGCAAGGAAUUGUCUUCACUAUGGCCAUCCGUUCUGUGUCGUCUUCGCGAAGAAGAAGUUUAUGGUUUGCAUUUGAAGUCUCAGACUUUAAGGAAAGAUCUUUGUGCAGAACCAAUCACUUACACGGUUGCAGAUGGUCAGAGAGAUUGUGUAAUGAGUGAGAAUAGGCUGACCACCUCUUCUUGCGAUGGUGGACAUGCGGCGAAGAUUAAUUCUGACGAGCCAGUAUCAAAGUCUUUUACGUUCAGAGCUUGUUCAUCCUCUAGUCAUCCUGUGCCAGAGCCUACUUUGGAUAAUUAUGAAGCAAGUUCGAGUGUUUUAUCCAUACCACCUCUAAGCUUUGGGGAGAGAUUUGAGGAUGCAUAUGAAGUAAUCUUGGUAUUGGAUGAUCGAGAACAAUUUGCUACUCAGGGAUCGCGGUCUAGGAGAAUUAUUGAGAAUGUUCGUUCUCAAUUCAAAAUCAAAAUAGAGGUUAGGAGGUUACCAGUUGGAGAUGGAAUCUGGAUAGCUCGCCAUAAGCAACUUGAGAGCGAAUAUGUACUUGAUUUUAUUGUUGAGAGGAAGAAUGUUGACGACUUACGCAGUUCAAUUAGAGACAACCGUUACAGGGAUCAGAAGUUGAGACUCUUGAGGUGCGGGCUAAAGAAACUGAUAUAUCUUGUGGAAGGUGAUCCAAAUACUUCUGAAGCAGCAGAGAGCAUUAAAACAGCCUGUUUCACAACUGAGAUUUUGGAGGGAUUUGAUGUUCAGAGAACGAUUGGCUUGGCUGAUACAUUGAAGAAGUAUGUGUAUCUUACUCAAGCAAUAACUCAAUAUUACAAUUCAGAAUUCUCUGAGGAACAAUGUAUACGUGCUGGGGUUUGUCCUCCUUUUGAUGAAUUUGUUAAAAGGUGCCAAGAUCUGGAUAAAAUGACAGUCAGUGACGUUUUUGCCAUUCAGCUCAUGCAGGUAUGUAAUGUUUUUGAGAGAAAGGAUUACCAUCCCUUAUUUGACAAGCAGUCUUGGGUCUACUAUUGGUCCCCCAGGUAACUGAGGAAGUUGCCAUAGCUGUUCUGGAUUUGUACCCAACGCUUUUAUCUCUUGCCCGUGCCUACUCUCUACUUGAGGGCGAUGUCCGUGCACAAGAAGAGAUGCUUAGAACCCAGAGUAACAAUGCUGUCAAUGCGGGUGCUAGUAAGAAUAUAUUUCACCUGGUUUGGGGCAAUUGAUUGUUUCGUAUCUCCUAUUUCAAUUUUUUGGUUAAUUUUUUAAGUUUUUUUUUAUUAUAGAA